rnacentral:tRNA from 1 species
AAUAAAGUAAACUAAAAAAGUUUUAAGGUUCAUACCCUUACUAUAGAAAAUUAUUCCUCUCUUUAUUA